AGACCGGUUUAUUGGUCGUGCUUUUGUACGUACUGGUAUUAUUGGUUUCUCCCUUCUGACGAAUCUUAAUGCCAUUAAUUUGGUGCUUUGGGGAAUCAGGACUGUUACUUUGAAAAAAUUAGAGUGUUUAAAGCUGGCUCACGCUCGAAUACAUUAGCAUGGAAUAACGGAAUAGGACGUUUGAUUCUAUUUUGUUGGUUUCUAGGAUCGACGUA
rnacentral:rRNA from 1 species